UUUGGCAUGCACCUGGCAUACAAUGUAGAAAACUGUGUUUGUAAAUCAACAGCUACAUUGUCUGCUGGGUUUCAUGCUGAAUGG
rnacentral:pre_miRNA from 1 species